ACAUACGACCAUACCUGCUAGAGAAUUCUGGAUCCCGUCUGCUCUCCGUGCGACAAGCUGGCAAGGGGCGGAUUAGUAGUUGGGUCGGUGACGACCAGCGAAUACCCGCUGUUGUAUGUU
rfam:Nectria haematococca mpVI 77-13-4 chromosome 5 genomic scaffold NECHAsca_61_chr5_1_0, whole genome shotgun sequence.